GAAUCAGUAAGCACAGUGUUCCCCUCUUAAGUAGAAGCAGCUUAGUAACCCAUGAAGUGUUGAGCCUCGUCUCGUGCGGACAGAAUCAGUAAGCACAGUGUUCCCCUCUUAAGUAGAAGCAGCUUAGUAACCCAUGAAGUGUUGAGCCUCGUCUCGUGCGGACAGAAUCAGUAAGCACAGUGUUCCCCUCUUAAGUAGAAGCAGCUUAGUAACCCAUGAAGUGUUGAGCCUCGUCUCGUGUUAUCUCCAUUAUCUGCCGUGUUUUUAUUUUUAAGCUUACCUGUGAUGGAACGCGAUAAAGAAAACUGAUAAGCCCUCGUAAAUUCCUUCUCAAUCCGUGUUAAAUGCCGAGGAGGAAGAAAUGUUGUAAAAAUGUGAAUGUCUUGACUGAACUGAACCAGAGUGUGAAUAACCGAGAGGAGGGAAAUGUAUAUAAAUUUAAAUGUAACAAUGUAAAAAGAAAGUAAGCGAAAUAGUGUUAUCUGAAGAGUGUUGGGUAUGAUUGCCAGUGUGUGUGUGUACCAUUACGUCCAGAUCUCGAUGAAAAAAAAAUGGGAAAUUGAAAUGAGGAAAUAUUGAUAAAAAAGGGAAAUAAAUGAGGAAAUAUUGAUAAAAAAGGGAAAUAAAUGAGGAAAUGUUGAUAAAAAAAUGGGAAAUAAAUGAAGAAAUGUUGAUAAAAAAUGGGAAAUAAAUGAGGAAAUAUUGAUAAUAAAUGAGGAAAUAUUGAUAAAAAAGGGAAAUAAAUGAGGAAAUAUUGAAAAAAAAAUGGGAAAUUGAAAUAAGAGGAAAUAUUGAUGCACUGACAUUAAUCAAGUUUCUAUACCUUUGCUCUUUUUCAAUAUUUGUACAGUAUCUUGUAUGGAAGUCAUGUUCAUGCUUUUUUUUGGGGGGGGGGUCUGGGUAUAAUACUAAUAUGUCCCACACCUGCACAUCAGCCGCUAACCUCACAUACCAGCUCUUUAUAUUAUUUACUGCACUUAUAACACAUCCUCACACACACACACACACACACACACACACACACACACACACACACACACACACACACACACACACACGUAACACCUCCUUUGCCAUCACCCCAUCUCCUUACCUUAACCCUAUGCAAUCCGAGGGUGGCCAAAUCUGGUCUCCGCUCAGGCACUUGGAUCAAAACGAUACACCUUUUUUCACUUUCCACUAGCUCCUUUUCACUCCCUAUUCAUUAUUGUUUUACACUGUUGAUUCGGUACCAGUACUUAGUGUUCAUGAGCAUUAUCGUUGUUCAGAUAAAUGAGUAUGAUAGGUGUUACGAGCGCGAAAAUUUGAAAACGUUGGAUCGGAUAGGGUUAACCUCACACUAAUGUAACCUAAUCUUACUUAUAUUCCUUCAUUCUAAACACAAAUAUAUUCACUGUCCUAACCUCGCAUGAUAACCCAUCUUUCUCACCCCCACCUCUAUAUUCCUUCAUUCUAAACACAAAUAUAUUCCCUGUCCUAACCUUGCAUAAUAGCCCUUUUUUCUCACCCACACCUCUCCCCCUUAACCCCACACAUCACAUCACACGGCUUCUGGGAUAGGAGUCUCCUCACCCAGAGAUACCGCAUUCAUUAUUAGAAGCCGUAAGUAGCGGCCUUUUUUCUUUUUGUUUUUUUGUUUUUUACGCCCUUGCACUGUCUCCUCUGCUGAAAUAAAUAAAAAAAGCGUGACACUCAAAUCCUUACACGACUAAUAUAUAUAUGAUGUUACUGAUGUCGAAUGGGACGCACAUACUGGCAAAUAUACCCAAAUAUGAACGCUGAACCUAACUGGACAGCUGUGAGAUGGAUCGUUUAGCUUCUUGAAAUGGAUCGUGCCCUGUCUGUCUGAGCAUGCCUGACUGACCUGCCUGAUGAAACACAUGAGGGAUAAAUAAAGAGGAAUGAGGUAGCAUGAGCAGUGAGGAAUGAAAAAGGAGGAAAAAUGAGAAAUAAACUGGAAUGAAGGAAGAGGAAUAAGCUGUCAUGAGGGGUGAGGGAUGAUGCCUUGUAAAUACAGCUUGUACUAAGUGGAUUUCUGGGGGAUUCUAACUUUCCUUAAUGCUUCAAAACACGAUUAUAGAGAGAUUCAGUCAUUACUCAUCUGCUGGUUAGGUUUUAUUAGGACUGUUGAGGAAUGUGUGUUGGGUGUGACUUAUGUGGUUCAGUCAUUUUGUUUAGGUUUGUUAUAAGGAUCGAGAUGUCUGCGCGCAUCUGCUGGGGUAUAACUUGUGCGAUUUGGUCAGUCUGUUUUAGCCGUUACAUUUGCCAUGGGGAAUAACGUGUCCGAGUGUGCUUGGUGGGGUAUGACAUGUGGUUUGGUCAUUCCGUUUCAGUUGAGUUUGCUGUGAGGAAUGAUAGGUCUAGGUUGUAACGCAUUGAAAUCCAGUUGAAAAUUCUGUUAUUAUGCACAUGUAGGUUGAGUUUGCUGUGAGGAAUGAUAGGUCUAGGUUGUAACUCAUCAAGAUAUAGUUGAAAAUACUGUUAUUAUGCACAUGUAGCUGUGAGGACAGGUGGGGGGUGCUUAGGUUAGGUUAGGUUAGGUAAGGCAGCCAGGCAAAGAAGAAAAAUAUUAGGACAGAAAUUUGAAGCUAUGAGGUGCUUAGGUAAGGUUAGAUAAGGCAGGCAGGCAAGGAAGAAAAAAAUUAGGAUGGAAAUUUGAAGCUAUGAGGUGCUUAGGUUAGGUUAGGUUAGGUUAGAUAAGGCAGCCAGGGAAGGAAGAAAAAAAUUAGGACGGAAAUUUGAAGCUAUGAGGACAGGUGGGGGUGCUUAGGUUAGGUAAGGUUAGAUAAGGCAGCCAGGCAAGGAAGAAAAAAAUUAGGACGGAAAUUUGAAGCUAUGAGGACAGGUGGGGUGCUUAGGUUAGGUUAGGUUAGAUAAGGCAGGCAGGGAAGGAAGAAAAAAUUAGGAUGGAAAUUUGAAGCUAUGAGGACAGGUGGGGGUGCUUAGGUUAGGUUAGGUUAGAUAAGACAGGCAGGCAAGGAAGAAAAAAUUAGGAUGGAAAUUUGAAGCUAUGAGGACAGGUGGGGGAUGGUUAGGUUAGGUUAGGUUAGAUAAGACAGGCAGGGAAGGAAGAAAAAAUUAGGACGGAAAUUUGAAGCUAUGAGGUGCUUAGGUUAGGUUAGAUAAGGCAGGCAGGGAAGGAAGAAAAAAUUAGGACAGCCAAGCAAAGAAAUAAAUUGCAUUCCAGAUUAUUUACGUAUAUAUUAUUUUUACAUGCAAGACCAGAACAGUGAUGGGUUUUUUGAAGACUACAGGGGGUUGGUUACUGCUCAUUUCUGGCACAGGUGUAUUUUUUUUUAUAGUGGUGUUAGGAUACGAACCAAAAUCACAUGCUAUUCAGUUUUAGCAAUAUCACUCAUUCUCUCUCUAGUCUUCACUCACACUCCUACUUAUCAUUCUUAAGGUAGAUAGGUUUUUGAGUGUGAAGGUGCACUUAUAAUCAUUCUAAUUCAUUCAGUUUUAGCAAUAUCACUCAUUCUCUCUAGUCUUCACUCACACUCCUACUUAUCAUUCUUAAGGUAGAUAGGUUUUUGAGUGUGGAGGUGCACUUAUAAUCAUUCUAAUUCACUCAGUUUUAGCAAUAUCACUCAUUCUAGUCUUCAGUCACACUCCUACUUAUCAUUCUUAAGGUAGAUAGGUUUUUGAGUGUGGAGGUGUACUUAUAAUCAUUCUAAUUCAUUCAGUUUUAGCAAUAUCUCUCUCUCUAGUCUUCACUCACACUCCUACUUAUCAUUCUUAAGGUAGAUAAGUUUUUGAGUGUGGAGGUGCACUUAUAAUCAUUCUAAUUCAUUCAGUUUUAGCAAUAUCACUCAUUCUAGUCUUCACUCACACUCCUACUUAUCAUUCUUAAGGUAGAUAAGUUUUUGAGUGUGAAGGUGCACUUAUAAUCAUUCUAAUUCAUUCAGUUUUAGCAAUAUCACUCAUUCUAGUCUUCACUCACACUCCUACUUAUCAUUCUUAAGGUAGAUAGGUUUUUGAGUGUGGAGGUGCACUUAUAAUCAUUCUAAUUCAUUCAGUUUUAGCAAUAUCACUCAUUCUAGUCUUCACUCACACUCCUACUUAUCAUUCUUAAGGUAGAUAAGUUUUUGAGUGUGGAGGUGCACUUAUAAUCAUUCUAAUUCACUCAGUUUUAUCAAUAUCACUCAUUCUCUCUAGUCUUCACUCACACUCCUACUUAUCAUUCUUAAGGUAGAUAAGUUUUUGAGUGUGGAGGUGCACUUAUAAUCAUUCUAAUUCAUUCAGUUUUAGCAAUAUCACUCAUUCUCUCUAGUCUUCACUCCUACUCCUACUUAUCAUUCUUAAGGUAGAUAACUUUUUGAGUGUGGAGGUGCACUUAUAAUCAUUCUAAUUCAUUCAGUUUUAGCAAUAUCACUCAUUCUCUCUAGUCUUCACUCACACUCCUACUUAUCAUUCUUAAGGUAGAUAAGUUUUGAGUGUUGGGAGUACAUUUAUAAUAAUCAUUCUUAAGUGGGUUGAGCAAGUUUUCUAAGAGGGGGACAUGCACUUAAUUCAGGAGUUAGUCUUAGCAUUAGUAUAAAUUCUUCAGUUUUCUUUUUUUCCUUGUCACCUCUACUUGAUCUUUGAGGCAUAGCAUUAGCAUCUAUUUUCUGGACUAUGCUCUUUUAUUUAUUUUUUGUUUAUUUUUUAUGUUUUGAGGUUCACGUGAGCAUUAAUGAAUCAUCCAUCUGUAUGCGUCGCAGGUCUGAGUCAUAGGGGAGUAGCAGGUGUUCCUUCAGCCAGGUGUGCACAGGUGGUGGGUCACUUAACUGUGCUAGCGAGAUGCAGGUAAUGGUGGUGAUGGGAUGCUUACAAAUUUCAGAAGCUUGGCGGGAAAGGACUUGUUUACAUAUUUUAUUAAUUGUCAAGUUUCAAAUCAUUCUAGUAGGUGGAAAAUUUACAUAUAUUUUUAUUAUUUUCUUGUAAAGUUUUAUAAAGUUUGCAUCUUUUAAAAUUUCCUCAGAACGCAUCCUUUAAAAUUUCCUCAGACCGCAUCCUUUAAAAAAAUGAAAGGAUAAACAAAAAACACAAAGAAUAUUCCAACCACUCCGCAACAUUUUCAAAGCAUUUUACUUCAUUAUUUACGGCAAGUGUUCUCAUCCUUAGCACCCUCCUACCCAUCCUCUUUCCCCUGCCCCUUCCCUCUCCUUCCUCUUUUCCCUGUCCAAUUUCCCCUCCUUCCUCUUUUUCCUGCCCCCUUUUCCAUCCUUCCCCCUCCUUCCUCUUUCCCUGCGCCCUUCUCCCUUCUUCCCCUCCUCCCUUCACCCACACUCUCCCCACACACAUGUUCCCAGUGGUGCUUAGCCUGAACCUUUUUCCUAUUCCUCCUCCCCGCCCCCACACCCCAAGCUUCCCCUGUGACCCGCGUGUUGGUGUGGCGCAUAGAAAGUCUCGUCCGUUAGUGUUCCUGAGGCUGCCGUGUGGAGUGUGAUUCUAAUGAGUUUUUUUUUCUUAAUUUAUAGACCGUUUUUUGUUAAUGGAUUAUGCAACGCCAUUUGGUCAUGAUGGUUCGGGUGAUGUGAUUGAAAAACCCCAUUAAGUCUGUAAAUUUAAUGUGACGUGAUAGAAAGAAAAAUUGGUCUGUCCUUUGUUCUAAAAUUUUGCUGUGGGUUGUGAUUUGCCUCUUCAUUUUUAUAUAUAUUUUUUGUCUUUUUUAGAAUAUUGCAAGAUUUUUUUUUGAUUUUUACACUAGAAAUUACUGUGGUGUGUGACUUUUAAUUUAUAUAUGGAUUUAUGAUUAACUAUUUUGAGUGAUUUAUAUUUUACUGUGAGACCUUGGCUUAACACGAUUUCUGGAACGGGACGCCAGAAAUCUUUUUGUCUCCUACGUACUAAAUGUUUUGUCAAUUUCCAGCCAAGCAGUUGCCCGUCCAUCUCAUUUUUAUUAUUUUUUCUCCUUUUAUUUAUUUUUUGUCCGAGCUGCAUUCCCUCUUCCAUUUAUUUCAGCUCUGUUUAUUUAUCAUUUUAUUCCAGUUAGUUUACAGUCCAGCGAUUGUUAUCCCUUCCAUGCAAAGUCUGCCAUCCAUCUUUUUUAUCAUAGUGCAAAGCCUAGUUCUGUUCUCUCCCUCCGUAGUUGCUUUUCCUUAUUUCCAGAGCAAUUUAUUUUUGCUUCCCUCAGGCGCGCCAUGCCAGUCUUUUAUACACUUGCCUUCAAAAUUUACUUCUUAUACUUGCAGUUAAGAAAAAGAGAAUUCCCCCUCUAUGUCGGCUCUUCAAAUAACACUAAAGUUUUAUCAGUGUUCAUUAGGCUCGGACAUGGCAGCUGUGAAGGACAUGUCAGGUUCUACCCCAUGGCAAUCACGUGUCAUGCCCUUGAGGUCGGUAAUAUAAGACACUUUCGCUCUCACAUCAGCUAAUUCUAAAGGCCAAAGAGAGGGUCAGUUGGGUUGUAAUGAGUGUUUCUUUAUGUUCACGGUACAGAAGAAGGGCCAAACUACCACCAGGGUCAUAAAACUACUACUGGAUAUGCCCACAACUCCUUCGAAAGCCUUGUCAAAUAUGUGUUCUUGGGCAGCGAAAUGUCUUAUAAUCCGGCCCUUAUAGUUUUCCUCAUAAUCCCAUGAUGCUACAAAAUUGUCCAUUCAUAGAUUUU